CCCUAUUAUAAAAAAUGUAAAAUAUUAUACUAGAGUAGUAAUAGUUAAGUUCUUGAAAUUCAAAAGAUUUGGCGGUAUUUUAGUCUUUUCAGAGGAACCUGUUCUAUAAUUGAUGAUCCACGAUUAAUUGUACUUAAUUUAUUAGUUUGUAUAUCGUCGUCAUUGAAUAUCUUUUAAAAGAUAUAUAAAUAUUCAAAAUUUUUAAUUUAUAAAAUAAAUCAGAUCAAGAUACAGUUUAUAAUUAAGAAGAAAUGGGUUACAAUAAAUUUAUUUAUAUGAAUAUAUUAAUUAACAUUUUUAUUGAAAUUGGAUUUGAAAGUAAUAUAUUUAAGUUAAAAUAUAUGAUUUAAGCUCUAAAAUAUG
rnacentral:rRNA from 1 species